UCACAGACCGUGAGAUCAUGACCUGAGCUGAAGUCGGACGCUCAACUGACUGAGCCACCCAGGCACCCCAGUAAGUCUAUUUUUAACUUUAUAAGAAACUGACAAACUGUUGUCCAAAGUAGCUAUCUUGUUUUUCAUUCCACCUGCAAUGCGUGUCAGUUGCAGUGGCUCUUCCUUCUUCUUGGCACUUGACAUUGUCAGUUUGUUCUGAUUUGAGCCCGUCUAACAGUUAGUGAAGUGCCUUGUAAUUUAAUUACAUCAUUUCAUGUCUAUAACAUUUGAUCCCACGGUUCAAUUCGGUGAAGUUUAAAUGACUCUCUCCACAAGGAGUUUGUCUUUUAGUUGAGAACCUAAUACAAACAUACACAAAAUCCAACGCAGUAUUUCAACAAUUGUCCAACUUAGUAGCAAGAAAACUAUCAGAUGAAGUUCAUGAUUGAUUUCCAGGGAGUUGUUCAGUUGACCAUUGCUACAGCAUUUAACUAUCCCUGAAUGUUUUUGUGGACACCAAGCCUAAUGGAUUCUUCCUUCACAAUCUGUUACUAGUUUUUUGUUGUGGAUUUUUUACUGUCGACACUUCAGGCCUUUAUCAUCUCAUCAUAGAUUACUACAGCAAUUUCUAACUGGUCUUGUGCCAUCUAGAUUCUUUCUACUAUAAUCAGACCUAAACACAGCCAUUAAACUCCUCUACCUAAAAUGGUAUUCUGCUGUUGUGUAACAAAUUACCACAAACUUAGCGGCUUAAAACAAUGCUAUUAUUUGUCCACAGUUCUGUGGGGCAGAAGUCUAGACGCAGUGUUACUGGGCUCUGUGCUUAGUGUUCACAAAGCUAAAACCAAGGUGUUGGCCGAGCUGCUUUCUCAUCUGGACCUGGGGCCCUCUUCUGAGCUCACGUGACAGAGUUCAGUUCAUUGUAGUGGUAGGACUCGGGUUCCCAUUUCUUACUGGCUGUCAACUGGGAGAUACUCUCAGUUCCUCGAGCCCACUCUCAUUCCUUGACAGGUGACCUUUUUAUCUUCAAACACUGGGAUAGAAGUUCUCCCUCUCAUCAAAUCCUUCUUAUGCCUCAAAUCUUUCUUUCUAAACAGAGCCUAAUCCCAUUUAAGGGCUUACCAGAUUAGGUCAUGUCCACCCAGGAUAACUUUACUUUUCUUACAGUGAACCAUUUUCAUAAAACAUAACCUAUUUAUGAUUGUCAUGUCCCAUCUAUGCUCAAGCGUGGGAAUUAGACAAGGUGUAUACGGCAGGGAAGGGGAAUAUUAAUAAAAGGCAAUAUUGGAUCAGAUCUAGGUCAAGAAAUUAAGUCUGUGUCCUUUCUCCUCCCCAGAGUCUCAUUUCCCUAUAAAUUAUAUCCCUGGGCCAAAGGGUCCUUGAGCUUGAGUGGAGGAGCGCCACCCCAGUCACGGCUUCAAACAGUGAGAAGGGUUCUAGUCCCUCAUUUCUUUUCAGGCACCUUACUCUUUGGUAUUCUACAGAAGCUGAACCUCCUCAAUAUGCUUCUGGACCCAGAGUGCAUGCCACAGUUUGGGCUCUAGUCAUUGCACGGUUUUGAGCGGAGGAUUGACAUGAUACGAUAUACAUUCUAGAAAAUUAUUCUGGCUGCUGCCUUGAGAAUAGGCUUUGGUGAUCAGUGGUGCAGUUGAGGAAGCCAGAGUGGAGGCAAGGAGGUGAGCGAGAAGAUGCUGUACUGACCCAAGUCAGAGAUGAUGGUGGCUUAGACCAACACGAGGAAAAGAAUCAAGACGGCUGUGACUACAGACGUGAAGCAAGCAGUUAGAGGUGAUCUGGCCUCCAGCACUAAGGUUAGAGGUCUACUGGACCAAAGGAUCAGAGGUCCUGAAAAAGGAUGGGGCUCUCUAAAACUGGACCGGAUCAUUCUGGGUUGGGAGUGAUAAAGUGACCCCUUGGCAUUGAUGGUGGAGGAAUAAUUUAAUCUAGACCCAGCCAAAGCUUCUGUUUCUGAACAUUCAGUGCCAAGUGCUUGCCUGCAUCAGUCUGUGCUCAGCACUUCCGUGGGGGGGGGGGGCUCUUUUCUGUGUGAUACCCCUAGUUUAAUCCUGUUACCUUGGCAGUUAGCCUUGGCAUCCAUAGCGCCCAUGAGAAAUCAAAGGAUAAUUCAGAUUCAUAACCAAAGUGUCAUUUAGGGCAUGUCUCUGUGCAUAGAAAGUGAAAUCAAAUGUUGAGGCAAUUAUGAGAAUUAUUCAGGCAAAGACAUUUCUUCUUCCCUUAUAUGGAUAUUUCAUGAAAAAUUUCUAGGCCUGUCAUUAACUAGCUCAUUACUUUAAUUAACCACUUCAUUAUGUAAGUGUAGACACAGCCUUAAAAUUAUUUGUACUGUUUUUUCCUGUGUGUAAAUAACAGCGGAGUAAAAAAAUAUUAAUUUAUGAAUGUAAUUGUGUAGGUGAUCACUCCACAUUUACUCAGCACUAGCAAUUAGUGCAUGCAAAUCAGCUAAGACAAAAGUCUCUCUGAUCCUAUUCGGAAUACAGGAAGAGUUAAUUUGCAAGAAUGCCUGUUUCUGGCCCAUCUGAUUCUCUAAAGUCACGUUCUUGCCUCUGAAAAUCAGAAACUGACCACAUUUGUUGUGUGCUUUCUGAUCACUGUUAAUGCCCUUGCAAACACAGGAAAUAAAAUGCUAACAAAUCAUCAUCCAUUACCUAAUUAUAUUUACCUAGACAGAUAAAGUUGGGGGGAGGGGGAAGAGUGGGUCAUAUUUUUUUUUAAAAAAAGGCAUCUCUCAUUUGGCAAACAAAGAUGAAAUUUAUAGCUUAAUUAUUCCUCAUAGUGCCAUACAUAGAGCCUUUUCUGUUAAACAUAUCCAAGUCCUGAGAAUUUUCUCCCAAAGAGGUGUAAAAUGUGUGUUGAUUCCCAAUUAAAUCAGUUCCCCCUCCAGUGGGGAUAGUGCUAAUGGGAUUUAAACGUUCUUGAGGCUUCACUAGGGCACACAUUAGGAAAAAUCCUGACGUGGAUGGAAUAUUGCUCCUUCAGCAACACAAAUAUCAACUAAUAGAGAACUGUACAACUACCUCUGACAUCCUGCGUUGUGGAAGCUGCUUGAAUUAGUCAUUUUCAUUAAAAAUCAUGCUUGUGGAUGAAUAGCAGCAGUUGGUUUGUCUUGAUCCUUGGACAAUAUUUGGACAUUUAUUUCUAGGUUGUUUAUUUAAAAAUGCCCGAUGCUGAAGUUUUAUGAGAUACACCCACAGGUCUGUGUAAACUGAGCUACAUCCGCUGGCCACUGUGACCACAUAUAUUAUUAACUCUUUGUGUGCCAUGGGAAGCAGUCAGGUACCAGUCUCCCGAAGUUGAGAGCUGCUUUGAACAGGCAUGGACUGCAGUGGUUUCCGGGAGAUGAAGACAUAGUUGCCAACUUGACGUGUGGGGCGGCAGCAGCCACCUUGCUACAAUGAGGGGAUAAGCCUGAGGAUGACAGCUAAUACACUGAAGAUCAAUGAGCAUUAAGACAGAAAGAACCUGGGUCAUUGAUGUCACUGUUGAGGGAAAGGGAACACUCUGAGGCAAGUGCUGUGCGAGUUCCUCCUUUACCACAGCUCUGUGUGAGGAAUGAGGUGCAGGACAAUAGGCAUCGUUACGAACAUCAAGGAGAGAAAAGAAGACUCAAUGACUCAAAGACUCAAAGAAGAUUCAAUGACUGUUAGCAUGAAUACAUGAUGAUGCCCUUACAUGUUUUUCAUAGACGACGAGGUGUGUGGGUCAACCUGUGUGAACAGAUGGGAGCCAGCGUUCGAUGCCUCUGAUUCUGCACGACUCUUCCCCAACAUGAACCUUACGAGAUAUAUUGUGUUUAUUUUAAGUUACAUGUGGGGUGUGUGCUCCAAGCAUUCUGUAGUCAUUGCCAGUGAAGUGGAAAGUAAAGGCCUCCAAACAGGUCACUUUGCCACUCUUUACCCUAUUUCACAGCUUGCCCUGCGAAUUUUGCUUUUAGCUGUAAAAUAGUUCUGUUGUGGGUAAAUGCUGGUGUUAGGAUUAGUUUAUGAGGGGUGCCUGUUAAGCAUCUGACUCCUGAUUUCAGCUCACGUCAUGAUCUCAUGGUUUCGUGAGUUCGAGCCCUGUGUCAGGCUUCGUGCUGACGGGGCUGAGCCUGCUUAGGAUUCCCUCUCUC